AGAUUUAGAGGAUGUGAUGUCUGAUCGCCAGGAUUGAUUUGUCUGAUUGGCUGUCAGGUGGGUGUCCCUUUCAUCCCUCACUGCUCCGUGUGCUUUGCUCCUGAAGCUGCUGGCUCUCUAGGUCAGUCUGAGGAAGAGGAUGGGCUUCCCCCAAUAGGGGAGGACCUGCCUUCAGUAGAGGGUAUAGGAGUAGCUGCGCUCCCCUGCUAGAAUCUCCAAACAAGAAAGUUCAGAGAUAAGCCGGACUGAAAGAAAGAUGUCUGUGAUUUGAACAUCUGAUAAAGAUCCCACAUUCAAAGUGUGU
rfam:Cricetulus griseus cell line CHO-K1, whole genome shotgun sequence.